AUGAAUCCCCAGCCUGCCAAGAACACAAGCUUGCCUUUCUCAUCAAUCAAUUUGACAAGGCCAGGCACAGAGCAGAAGCUUCUGGCAGCCCGCCCCGCCCUUCACCCCCCACUGCCCCUUCCCCUCUCUUCCGAUCUGUUUCGGAAAAGUCCUGCACAAAUGUACCAAAACGGAACAAACAACUUGAAGGAGAACCAAGACGAUCCUAAAAACGAUGGAAUAUUUUUUUAUCUAGUGAAGAAGAUGAAUCACCUCUCUUGGAAUUUACUACACCUGGCUCUACCUCAAACGUGCAUAGUCCCGGUUUCCACAGAAUGAGAAGCCCCAUCACAACCUCCACUCUGGGAAGACCCAGGACAACUCCUGCUGCGAGGCCUGGCUCUUCAUCGAGCAUGAGCAGCUCCCGUGGCUUGGGAGAGAGGUCGUCGUUACACGACUGGUUACGCUUCUCAGGGAAGUGGGGGAAACACAGAAACUGCACGUGCACUUGCUGAAUACCCUGCUGAGUCAAAAAUCUGCUUUACCACUGGUGGAACCACCGGAGGGAGCUGUGUGAGCACAGCUGAUGAUGUCCUGGCCAUGAAUGAGAAGCUGUGUGACUCAGACAUGUUUUACAGAGAAAACCUGCCUGUCAUGUAUAAACUUCACCUCCCGUGUCCUGGAUCUUUAUUUACACCUUCGAGAGCAAUGCUGCAAGUCUAUUCUAUGUUCUGUUUGACAUCAUUUGUUUUAAAAGAGCUGAUUUAGAGAUUGUUUUGUGAUUAUGUGUUUUUUGCCAGGAAUUAGCCUCAUCCCAACAGCUUGUUUUGCUUUUGUACUGUGUAUUAGCAUAGCAACGAUGCUAACAACUUCAUUAGCAUAUGAAAAGAUCGCUAAAAUGACAGUUUAUUAGUAACAGCUAAGGUCAACUCUUAUGCAUGUUUUCUAGCACUAGCAGUUUUGUUUGGUGCAUUUAUUUCACAUAAAAAGCUGGUGCAAAUUUCAUUUUCUGUUCAUUUUGUUUCACUCAAUCCUUUCACUGAGCUUUUCAAGCAACAAUUGUAAAGAAUUCUAAGCUGUCAAGAAGACCGUAAUAAAGAGAAAGACGCUCGGUUUCCGGGCUCAUUAAAAUUAA